rnacentral:lncRNA from 1 species
CGUUUAUUGAUGGAAGCAGUGGAGAAAGGACUAGAGGUUGGAAAGGAAAGACUCCAAAGUUGCCUGGAGAAAUUAUCCUGAGGAAAAACAAGAUCCAGACAUUUCCGAAAGGGAGGAGUCGGGGGAGGGCAAGGAGGGUUGAAGAUUAGGCAACACUGUGUCGGAAUCAUACAAAUUUGAAAACCGCAACCAAAAACCAGUGCUUUGUGGUGGGGUUUGUUUUUUCCAUUUUAAAUUGCAAGAUAAACAUGGAAGUUUCCGAGGUUCACAAUCUUAGAUUCUAAAGGAAGCAAUAAAAGAGAGAUGCCAGCAGUAAAAGGUCAUCAUACAAAAUUGAGCUGCAUUCACCCCUUCUUCAGUGCACCUUCCCUCCCACCAUUGGUUCUAGAUUCCCGGGCCCAGGAGUUGGAAGCCUUAAUGCUUUCAUUGUGGAAUUUGGGCCACUAGGGGCACACUGUGACCUCAUCAACACGGUUUCCCUGCAUCCUUCACUGCAUAAAGAAGAGUUUUUUAACAGGCCUGUUUCGCUUCCAAAAAUCCAUUCUGUGAUGGAAACCGUGGGGGCUCAGAAGAUCCAAUGCCAGGAGAAAGUCCAGGGGAAAUGCAAGGCUCGCUCUUGGAAAGCCACAGACAAUCACAGGGCCAUGAAGGACACUUGACACACUUGUCAGCUAUCUGACCCAGGAAGAUGAUUUUAUAUCCUUUUUCUCUGAAGGCAUACCGAGAAGGAUUUAUGUGAUGAUCCUUGGUCCUUCUGCCUCCAACUAGAAUGCAAGCUCAAGAGGAAGUGUGCCUUGCUCAUCAGUCUACCUUAAAACCUAGAAGGGUGCUUGCCACCUAAUAAGUGCUCAACAAGGGUUUGUAGAAUGAAUAAAUAACCACCUUCAGCCUAUCACUUUGGGCUUUGAUAAGGAUAACUGAUGCUUCUUAAUUUUAUGUAAAGCAUUAUGCAAAACAUGGUUUCAAAACAAUUAAAAAGACUCCCUCGCUCUCCAAUAUACCUUUCAAAUUGGAUUUGUGCCUGAAAAUCCUCUUACAGAGAAAUUUAGAGCCACCGUUGUUUAGGCCGUUUAUUCCAACCGAUCCAUGAAUCCCCUUUAUUGGCCAUCUUGCCAGUUAUCAUUCAGCUUUUGCUUGGAUACCUCUAGAAACAGAGAGCUCAUUUCUCCCAGAGCAGCUGUCCUUGUGCGUCUAUGACUAUUAGAAUGCUCUUUCUUAAGUUUAGCUGAUAUCUUUUUUUCCGUAGCCUCCACCCAUUGUCUUGGUUGUCAGAAGCAAAGUAAUCACUUUCCACUGAUUCCUUUCUACACCUAACAACAUAUAG